UACUCGGGAAACCGGAGCUAAUACCGGAUAAUAUUUCGAACCGCAUGGUUCGAUAGUGAAAGGUGGUUUUGCUAUCACUUAUAGAUGGACCCGCGCCGUAUUAGCUAGUUGGUAAGGUAACGGCUUACCAAGGCACGAUACGUAGCCGACCUGAGAGGGUGAUCGGCCACACUGGAACUGAGACACGGUCCAGACUCCUACGGGAGGCAGCAGCC
rnacentral:rRNA from 1 species